rnacentral:lncRNA from 1 species
UGAAGUGCUCAGGUUCGAUUGAAUUUGCUUCUAACGCACGAAUUCUUCAAAAGCCAUGGAUGCACAUCACUUGGACAGUUGUGAAUUUGAGAUCCUUUGAUGAUGAAUAACCAAAACAGUCCAAGGAUGAGAUGAAUGAAGAUCGAAUCAAAAAGAAAUUUGCCAAAUGAUCAAGAAUUGGAAGAGAUUUUUGGAAUUUUGCUUGAUGUGUUCUUGAGAGAAUUUGGGAAAUUGGAGGGAAAAGAGGUUGUGAUUUCUUGUGAUUGAUGAUUCUGUUAGAAGUUUGUUAUGAUUAGGAAUAUAUAUCUCCAAUUAAUCAAGCCUUAAUCACCUUAAUUAGCAAAAUGAAAUAUGAUUAGCAAAAUGUCACUUUCAAAGGCAAGGGCAAAAUGGUAUUUUCAUAUGGGCUCUGUGACAGCUCAUUGCCAGCUCACACAUGCUCUAAAUAUCUGUCAUGAGCUGUUGCAACUUGUCCCAUCUUCAUUGGCCAUGUAAUUUUGAUUUUCACCAUGCCAUGGCACUUUGUUCAUUUUUCAAGUUCAUUUCAAAAGUGAAUUCUUCAACCAUUGCACCUUGACCUGUUAUGAUGAUUCAAACCAUUUCCAAAUAGCAUUUGUNNN